AACGAACGCUGGCGGCAUGCCUAACACAUGCAAGUCGAACGAGACCUUCGGGUCUAGUGGCGCACGGGUGCGUAACGUGUGGGAACCUGCCCUUAGGGUCGGAAUAACUCCCCGAAAGGGGUGCUAAUACCGGAUAAUGUCCUCGGACCAAAGAUUUAUCGCCUUUGGAUGGGCCCGCGUUGGUUUAGCUAGUUGGUAGGGUAAAAGCCUACCAAGGCGACGAUCCAUAGCUGGUCUGAGAGGAUGAUCAGCCACACUGGGACUGAGACACGGCCCAGACUCCUACGGGAGGCAGCAGUGGGGAAUAUUGGACAAUGGGCGAAAGCCUGAUCCAGCGAUGCCGCGUGAGUGAUGAAGGCCUUAGGGUUGUAAAGCUCUUUUACCCGGGAUGAUAAUGACAGUACCGGGAGAAUAAGCUCCGGCUAACUCCGUG
rnacentral:rRNA from 1 species